rnacentral:rRNA from 1 species
AUUGAACGCUGGCGGCAUGCCUUACACAUGCAAGUCGAACGGCAGCACGGGUGCUUGCACCUGGUGGCGAGUGGCGAACGGGUGAGUAAUACAUCGGAACGUACCUUAUCGUGGGGGAUAACGCAGCGAAAGCUGUGCUAAUACCGCAUACGCCCUGAGGGGGGAAGCGGGGGAUCGCAAGACCUCGCGCGAUUAGAGCGGCCGAUGCCUGAUUAGCUUGUUGGUGGGGUAAAAGCCCACCAAGGCGGCGAUCAGUAGCUGGUCUGAGAGGACGAUCAGCCACACUGGGACUGAGACACGGCCCAGACUCCUACGGGAGGCAGCAGUGGAGAAUUUUGGACAAUGGGGGCAACCCUGAUCCAGCAAUGCCGCGUGAGUGAAGAAGGCCUUCGGGUUGUAAAGCUCUUUUGUCAGGGAAGAAACACCGGCUCUAACACAGUCCGGGAAUGACGGUACCUGAAGAAUAAGCACCGGCUAACUACGUGCCAGCAGCCGCAGUAA